rnacentral:rRNA from 1 species
UUUCCGGUUGAUCCUGCCGGAAGCCACUGCUAUUGGAGUUCGACUAAGCCAUGCGAGUUCAGGGGGGCUUUGCUCACCAGCGGACGGCUCAGUAACACGUGGACAACCUGCCCUCAGGAGGUGGAUAACCCUUGGAAACCGGGGCUAAACCACCAUAGGUCACGGAGGCUGGAAGGCGCUGUGGCUCAAACUCCUUCGGGAGCCUGAGGAUGGGUCUGCGGCCUAUCAGGUUGUAGUGGGGGUAACGGCCCCACUAGCCUACGACGGGUACGGGCCCUGAGAGGGGGAGCCCGGAGAUGGACUCUGAGACACGAGUCCAGGCCCUACGGGGCGCAGCAGGCGCGAAAACUUCGCAAUGUGGGAAACCACGACGAGGGAACUCCAAGUGCCUACGCUCAGCGUAGGCUGUUCUUGAGCCUAGAGAGCUUUAGGAGUAAGGGCUGGGUAAGACGGGUGCCAGCCGCCGCGGUAAUACCCGCAGCCCAAGUGGUGGCCGCUAUUAUUGGGCCUAAAGCGUCCGUAGCCGGCCCGGUAAAUGCCUGGGUAAAUCGUGGGGCCUAACUCCACGAAUUCCGGGUAGACUGCCGAGCUCGGGACCGGAAGAAGGAGAGGGUACUCCAGGGGUAGGGGUGAAAUCCUGUAAUCCUUGGAGGACCACCCGUGGCGAAGGCGCUCUCCUAAGACGGGUCCGACGGUGAGGGACGAAAGCCAGGGGAGCAAACCGGAUUAGAUACCCGGGUAGUCCUGGCCGUAAACGAUGUGGACUUGGUAUUCGAGUGGCCAUGAGCUGUUCGAGUGCCGUAGGGAAGCUGUUAAGUCCACCGCCUGGGGAGUAUGGUCGCAAGGCUGAAACUUAAAGGAAUUGGCGGGGGAGCACUGCAACGGGAGGAGCGUGCGGUUUAAUUGGAUUCAACGCCGGA